AUCAACAGUGAAGCUGUUAGACGUUUGCGUGUACAAUUCACAUCAAACCGGUGUCUUAAGGAGAAAUUGCGGGUUUCACAAGUGGUACUACAGUAGUGCGAAAAUAAGGUAACGAACGUGACUAGGAUCAGACAUGGCAUGCAGACAUACAAUGGAAUUCAGACUUAGUUAUUAUUUUACUUAAGUUUCACCAAAAUUUAUUUGGUUUUUGAACUGUAAAGUUAUUUGAACUGUGAUUUGG